rnacentral:rRNA from 1 species
AGUGAACGCUGGCGGUAGGCCUAACACAUGCAAGUCGAACGGCAGCACAGUAAGAGCUUGCUCUUACGGGUGGCGAGUGGCGGACGGGUGAGGAAUACAUCGGAAUCUACUUUUUCGUGGGGGAUAACGUAGGGAAACUUACGCUAAUACCGCAUACGACCUACGGGUGAAAGCAGGGGAUCUUCGGACCUUGCGCGAUUGAAUGAGCCGAUGUCGGAUUAGCUAGUUGGCGGGGUAAAGGCCCACCAAGGCGACGAUCCGUAGCUGGUCUGAGAGGAUGAUCAGCCACACUGGAACUGAGACACGGUCCAGACUCCUACGGGAGGCAGCAGUGGGGAAUAUUGGACAAUGGGCGCAAGCCUGAUCCAGCCAUACCGCGUGGGUGAAGAAGGCCUUCGGGUUGUAAAGCCCUUUUGUUGGGAAAGAAAAGCAGCAGGUUAAUACCCCGCAGUUCUGACGGUACCCAAAGAAUAAGCACCGGCUAACUUCGUG